rnacentral:rRNA from 1 species
UACGUAGGGUGCGAGCGUUGUCCGGAUUUAUUGGGCGUAAAGAGCUCGUAGGCGGUUUGUCGCGUCGGCCGUGAAAUCUCCACGCUUAACGUGGAGCGUGCGGUCGAUACGGGCAGACUUGAGUUCGGUAGGGGAGACUGGAAUUCCUGGUGUAGCGGUGAAAUGCGCAGAUAUCAGGAGGAACACCGGUGGCGAAGGCGGGUCUCUGGGCCGAUACUUACGCUGAGGAGCGAAAGCGUGGGGAGCGAACAGG